rnacentral:rRNA from 1 species
GACGAAGGAUGCAAGCGUUAUCCGGAUUCAUUGGGUUUAAAGGGUGCGUAGGCGGCCAGAUAAGUCAGUGGUGAAAUCCUGUUGCUUAACAACAGGACUGCCAUUGAUACUGUUUGGCUUGAGUAUAGUUGCUGUGGGCGGAAUAUGACAUGUAGUGGUGAAAUACAUAGAGAUGUCAUAGAACACCGAUUGCGAAGGCAGCUCACAAAAACUAUAACUGACGCUGAGGCACGAAAAGUGCGGGGAUCAAACAGG